UACAGAGGGUGCAAGCGUUAAUCGGAAUUACUGGGCGUAAAGCGCGCGUAGGUGGUUUGUUAAGUUGGAUGUGAAAUCCCCGGGCUCAACCUGGGAACUGCAUUCAAAACUGACAAGCUAGAGUAUGGUAGAGGGUGGUGGAAUUUCCUGUGUAGCGGUGAAAUGCGUAGAUAUCGGGAGGAACACCUGUGGCGAAAGCGGCGCACUGGACCAUUACUGACGCUGAUGCACGAAAGCUAGGGGAGCAAACAGG
rnacentral:rRNA from 1 species